GACGAACGCUGGCGGCGUGCUUAACACAUGCAAGUCGACAUGAGUGGCGAACGGGUGAGUCAUACGUGGUUAACCUGCCCUCCUUAUUGGGAUAAGCCUUGGAAACGGGGGCUAAUACAGAAUAAAGGGGGAUGGGCUCGAGGCCUAUCAGAUUGUUGGUGGGGUGAUGGCCUACCAAGGCGGUGACGGGUAGCCGGCCUGCGAGGGUGACCGGCCACAUUGGGACUGAGAUACGGCCCAGACUCAUACGGGAGGCAGCAGUGGGGGAUAUAGCACAAUGGGCGAAAGCCUGAUGCAGCGACGCCGCGGUAAUUC
rnacentral:rRNA from 1 species